AGAUUAUCAAAAGUCUCAGGUAUUGGCUUGCACGUAAGCUAUGUUCAGACCGGAUCUUGUCAUGACUGAUACUCAUCAGGUUGGUAUCAUCCCGGCCACCAUGCGCCCGUCACUCUGUACCCUGCACAUAAU
rnacentral:ncRNA from 1 species